rnacentral:snRNA from 1 species
GUACUCUCUUCAGCAGCACAUACACUAAAAUUGGAACGAUACAGAGAAGAUUAGCAUGGUCCCUACACAAGGAUGACAGACAAAUUCAUGAAGCAUUCUAUAUUAAC